rnacentral:lncRNA from 1 species
AAAAAAGCCUCAAAUAUCGGGACUGUCCCUAUAAAAUAAGGACAUCUGGUCACCCUACCCCCUAGGCAAUUUAUUCCAGUGCUUAGCAGCAUCCCAGAGGGGCUAGCAGAGACAAGCGAGAUCAUACAGAGUUAAUCAUCAACUCUGUCCCUUCAUCAUUCCCCCUUCUCCUCCUCACUGACCCCUUCUGCCAUUACCUCUCAACAACCAAUGGGAGAAUGAGUGGGAGGGCUCAGGAAAUAAAAGGGAGGAGGGGCUGAAAUGGUGCAGUGCCAGCAAUCUCUGGGUCCUACAGAUGAACCCUGCAUGGAGCAGGCCCAAUUCAUUUAACUCGCUGCAGCUGCUUGGGAUCAGGGGGGCUGAAGGCGGUUUGAUCUUGGUGGAAGGGAUUGCGAUUUGUUACUUGCCAACCACCAGUAUGCUCGGUGUGACGUUGUGCAGUCUAUAUGGUUUUAUAAAAACUUGAUAAUAAGUCAAUAUAAUGUAACUGAGAUAGUUUUAGAGAAAAUACGGUAAUAAGUGAAUGUAAGUAACUGGGAUAUGCUU